UAGAAAGUAAUAGUCAAACUCAAAAGAUAUUGAAAGAUUAUAUGCUAGACUUGUAGGAUGGUGAUAUUGUAGUGGUUAUAGAUAUAAAAGUGACUUUCUACAUGUUUAAAGCUAUAACCAAUGUAAAAAGUAACCUACAUUCACAAUCACCAUAAUGUGUGGUCAUUUUACAAGUUUGACACAUAAUCUUUUAUUAUCUUUUGAAUUUGACUAUUAGUUUCUA
rnacentral:pre_miRNA from 1 species